GACGAACCGAGCGAACGUUGUUCGGAAUCACUAGGCUUAAAGGGCGCGUAGGCGGGUGCUCAAGUCCGGGGUGAAAUCCUCCAGCUCAACUGGAGAACUGCCUCGGAUACUGGGUGCCUCGAGGGUGGUAGGGGUAUGCGGAACUAUCGGUGGAGCGGUGAAAUGCGUUGAUAUCGAUAGGAACUCCGGUGGCGAAGGCGGCAUACUGGACCACUUCUGACGCUGAGGCGCGAAAGCCAGGGGAGCAAACGGG
rnacentral:rRNA from 1 species